rnacentral:rRNA from 1 species
UAGGGAAUCUUCCGCAAUGGACGAAAGUCUGACGGAGCGACGCCGCGUGAGCGAAGAAGGUCUUCGGAUCGUAAAGCUCUGUUGUUAGGGAAGAAGAAGUGCCGUUCGAACAGGGCGGCACGGUGACGGUACCUAACGAGAAAGCCCCGGCUAACUACGUGCCAGCAGCCGCGGUAAUACGUAGGGGGCGAGCGUUGUCCGGAAUUAUUGGGCGUAAAGCGCGCGCAGGCGGUCCCUUAAGUCUGAUGUGAAAGCCCACGGCUUAACCGUGGAGGGUCAUUGGAAACUGGGGGACUUGAGUGCAGAAGAGGAGAGCGAAAUUCCACGUGUAGCGGUGAAAUGCGUAGAGAUGUGGAGGAACACCAGUGGCGAAGGCGGCUCUCUGGUCUGUAACUGACGCUGAGGCGCGAAAGCGUGGGGAGCAAACAGG